rnacentral:rRNA from 1 species
GUCUACAGCCAUGCUACCCUGAGCAAGCCUGAUCCUGUCUGCUCUCAGAAGCUAAACAGGGUCAGGCCUAGUUGGUUAGUACUUGGAUGGGAGACCACCUAGGAAGACCAGGUGCUGUAGGCG